rnacentral:lncRNA from 1 species
AAAGAGCACAGAAAAGGGCAAGAGAUGGUGAACUUAGCAUUUCAGAGGUUUGGCCAGUAAGACAACACGGGAGAGAAGCAGAUAGCAUGGGAGAAAUGGCAACAUGGCUGAAAGAGAUCCCAAGAAGUAGUCAGAAGAAGGAAGAGAAGCCCAACUUAAUAAGUGUCAGCUUCCAAUUUAUUUCCUUAUGCAGAUUCUUGUCUAAAGAAACCCAUGUCUUCUGA